AUGAGGGAGGCUGAGGAGGCGCAGGAGGAGGCGGAGAGGAGGAAGAGAGGAGGCCCCGGCCGCAAAAUGAAGAAACGGAAGACGGAGACGGGAAAGAGCUCAAAGAAGGCGGCGGCGGCGGCGGUUCCGGUGGAGAUGAGCGUCGGCGAGGUGGAAUCUGAUUUGGCGAGGACGAGGGAGAUUGUGGAAGCAGCCACGGCCAAGAUUCUGGCGCGGAUGAAGGGGAUCGUCAUCAAGGAGCCGGCCAAGACGAUGACAGAGGAGGACGUCGCGGCGGCGGCCGUGUACAGAGCCAAGGCGGAGGAGGCGCGCAGGAACGAGGACCGGCCGGAGGAGUCCAGCGCCCUCCGGAAGUGGAUCGCCACGGGAGACCCCGAGGCCGUCAAGUGCCGCAAGAGGUGGAUUGCGGAAGACAUGGAGGCCCUGAGGCUCAGGGACAUGGAUCCCGACGAGGAUACCUCCGACUGGCGUGCCUUCGAGGCCAAGGAGUUCCGCGAGUUCUGGGAAUACCUUUAUCCCAAAUCCUUCGGAAAAUUCGAGGACAACACGCGUAUCCCAAACAUGCUUUACACGGACAAGAAGUCGUCAGGUGGCACAGCCCACCCCAUAAGAACUCUGCAGGUCUUUACAGUCAAAGUCGCGGGAUUACAAGAUGGAGUGCACUGGCCGCUGCAAGUGUUUGGCGUCGUUGCUGCACGAGAUUGUUUGGAUCAUAAUCGCAAUGUUAUCUUCCAGCGCGAAAGGGAUAACUGCCAAAUGAUCCACAAGGAGAAUCCGUAUCUGACACUGACAGGUCCUAGCCGUGCUAUUGUGGUGGUGGAUCCUGUGUGGUUUGAGGUUGCAUUGAAAGUGAAGGGCGCCACUGAAUCUGAGGAUAAAGAGUUGAGCUAUCACGUCGAUCCUUAUUAUAUUUCCGGCUCAAUGAAUUCCUAUGUGUUCAAUCGCGUCAGGACUAGCAGGCUCAGCACAAUGGAGUUGACAUUGGGUGACAUGGUUCAUUCCGUGGAGGCCACCAUCAGUGUGAAAGUGGUUGGCGGGGAGUGGCCACAAGGUUUCAGAGGUGUAUUUACCGCCACUACCGCCAGCAUAGACGAGGAGAAAAUCGAGUUGCUUGGUUUCGGAGACGACAAAUUGCCUGUUGUAGCUGAUGGCUCAAUACAGCUCUCACGAAGUGUUGUGUCUGUCGAAGACGACGGGCAGCUGAGAGUCUCUGUCAUGGCGCGUCACCUGGUGGAUCGAUCUGUCAGGCGGGCUUCUGGAGUACUCGCAGCUAAGACAUCCUCCAGAAGCUAUGCUAACCUUGAAGUUUUCUCUUGUAAGAUGGAAGUCACUGUCGCCUGGUCUCUUCUCCCGUACUGGCCACAUUACCGUGACAUGCCGUGUCCUAGCAUAUGA
rnacentral:rRNA from 1 species